rnacentral:rRNA from 1 species
AUUGAACGCUGGCGGCAGGCUUAACACAUGCAAGUCGAGCGGAGUGAUGGUGCUUGCACUAUCACUUAGCGGCGGACGGGUGAGUAAUGCUUAGGAAUCUGCCUAUUAGUGGGGGACAACAUCUCGAAGGGGAUGCUAAUACCGCAUACGUCCUACGGGAGAAAGCAGGGGAUCACUUGUGACCUUGCGCUAAUAGAUGAGCCUAAGUCGGAUUAGCUAGUUGGUGGGGUAAAGGCCUACCAAGGCGACGAUCUGUAGCGGGUCUGAGAGGAUGGUCCGCAACACUGGGACUGGGACACGGCCCAGACUCCUACGGGAGGGAGGAGUGGGGAAUAUUGGACAAUGGGGGGAACCCUGAUCCAGCCAUGCCGCGUGUGUGAAGAAGGCCUUAUGGUUGUAAAGCACUUUAAGCGAGGAGGAGGCUCUUUUGGUUAAUACCCAAGAUGAGUGGACGUUACUCGCAGAAUAAGCACCGGCUAACUCUGUGCCAGCCGCCGCAGUAA